AACGAACGCUGGCGGCAGGCUUAACACAUGCAAGUCGAACGCAUCGCAAGAUGAGUGGCAGACGGGUGAGUAACGCGUGGGAAUCUACCUAGUUCUACGGAACAACGGUUGGAAACGACUGCUAAUACCGUAUACGCCCUAUGGGGGAAAGAUUUAUCGGAAUUAGAUGAGCCCGCGUAAGAUUAGCUAGUUGGUGGGGUAAUGGCCUACCAAGGCGACGAUCUUUAGCUGGUCUGAGAGGAUGAUCAGCCACACUGGGACUGAGACACGGCCCAGACUCCUACGGGAGGCAGCAGUGGGGAAUAUUGGACAAUGGGCGCAAGCCUGAUCCAGCCAUGCCGCGUGAGUGAUGAAGGCCUUAGGGUUGUAAAGCUCUUUCACCGAUGAAGAUAAUGACGGUAGUCGGAGAAGAAGCCCCGGCUAACUUCGUGCCAGCCGCCGCGGUAACAC
rnacentral:rRNA from 1 species